UAUCACAUGGGUUUAUUAUCGCUUUCAUACGACUGAGAAAAUGACACAACAGUUUAUAUAAAUACAGAUAAAUAAAUUUAUAUUAUAGCGGAAGUUCUUUCGUAAUAUGCAAGCGCAAUUGUAAUCGCAAGUUAUUAAUACGUUAACUAUGACCUUUCAAUAAAUCUCUGUAUGUUUUAAUAAUCAAUAUAUUGCUAUUAAUUACAAUGUAAUUUGUGGAAAACCCAUACACUUUGUAUAACUUUGCACAUGCAUAAAGUGUAUGAGUUUUCCAUGAAUUGUAAAGUGCUGUUAUACAUUAUAUAUAAAGACUGAUAUCAAAUA